rnacentral:rRNA from 1 species
UACCGAAUAGCCCACCCCGCCGGGAAGGGUGGGUGAAUAAAAGGUCACGGCACAGGAUGGGUCUGCGGCGUACCAGUUUGUAGGGGGUGUAAAGGACCCCCUAUCCAUUGACCCGUACGGUUUGUGGAAGCAAUCCCCCGAAAAUGGAUUCUGAAACACAAAUCCACACCCUACGGGGUGCAGCAGGCGCAAAAACUUCACACUGCAGGAAACUGUGAUGAGGUACCUCCAAUUGCAUGCACAAUGUGUAUGCUUUUCCUAAUUUUUAAUCGGUUAGGAAAUAAGGGCUGGAAAAAACCGGUGCCAGCCGCCGCGGUAAUACCGGCAGCUCAGGUGGCCGCCUUUUUUAUUGGGCCUAAAACGUCCCCACCUUGUUUGGUAAAUCUGUGGAUAAAUCAACCACCUUACCUGGUUGAAUUCUGCAAAGACUGCCAAACUAGGGACCGGAAAAGGUGUGGGUUACUCUCGGGGUAGGGGUAAAAUCCUGUCAUCCUGGAAGGACCACCACUUGCGAAGCCGCCACACUGAAACGGAUCCAACGGUCAGGAACAAACCCUAGGGGCACGAACCGAAUUAGAUACCCGGUUAGUCCUAGAAGUA